rnacentral:rRNA from 1 species
GACGAACGCUGGCGGCGUGCUUAACACAUGCAAGUCGAACGAUGAGGCCGGAGCUUGCUCUGGUGAAUUAGUGGCGAACGGGUGAGUAACACGUGAGUAACCUGCCCUUGACUCUGGGAUAACUGCGGGAAACUGUAGCUAAUACCGGAUACGACCCUCGGAGGCAUCUCCUGGGGGUGGAAAGAAUUUCGGUCAAGGAUGGACUCGCGGCCUAUCAGCUAGUUGGUGAGGUAAAGGCUCACCAAGGCGACGACGGGUAGCCGGCCUGAGAGGGUGACCGGCCACACUGGGACUGAGACACGGCCCAGACUCCUACGGGAGGCAGCAGUGGGGAAUAUUGCACAAUGGGCGCAAGCCUGAGGCAGCAACGCCGCGUGAGGGAUGACGGCCUUCGGGUUGUAAACCUCUUUUAGCAGGGAAGAAGCGAAAGUGACGGUACCUGCAGAAAAAGCACCGGCUAACUACGUGCCAGCCGCCGCGUAA